GACGAACGCUGGCGGCGUGCCUAACACAUGCAAGUCGAACGAAGUGGCGAACGGGUGAGUAACGCGUAAUCAACCUGCCCUUCAGAGGCGGACAACAGUUGGAAACGACUGCUAAUACCGCAUACUGAAGGAGGGGAUUGCGUCUGAUUAGUUAGUGGGAGGGGUAACGGCCCACCAAGGCGGUGAUCAGUAACAGGGCUUGGAGGAUUAACGGCCACAUUGGGACUGAGUCACGGCCCCGGAUCCUACGGGAGGCAGCAGUGGGGAAUCUUCCGCAAUGGGCGAAAGUCUGACGGAGCAACGCCGCGGGAGUGAUGACGGCCUUCGGGUUGUAAAGCUCUGUUAAUCGGGACGCGGUACCGGAAUAGAAAGCCACGGCUAACUACGUGCCAGCAGCCGCGGUAAUAC
rnacentral:rRNA from 1 species